rnacentral:tRNA from 1 species
GCCAAUGUGGUGUAGUGAUUAGAGCAUUGGACUAUGACUGGAGACCAGGGUUCGAAUCCCAGCUUGGCCA